rnacentral:misc_RNA from 1 species
AACGGUCUAUACCUGCGGUACCUGCGGAGGGAUCAUUACCGAGUUUCACCGACUCCCAAACCCCUGUGAACCUACCACACGUUGCUUCGGCGGACCGCCCCGGCGCCCCUCGCCCUCCCCUCGGGGGGGGCGGCAGGCCCGGAGCCAGGCGCCCGCCGGGGGACCCAAACUCUUGCCUUCGCUCCGGCGGAAUGUUCUUCUGAGUCGCGAAACGAAUGAAUCAAAACUUUUAACAAUGGA